rnacentral:rRNA from 1 species
GUCGCACCUACCGAUUGGAUGAUCCGGUGAAGUCUUGAGAUUUUUGUUGUUCCAGUUCUUGAAAUGAUGAGGAAAACAAGCCUAAACUUUAUCAUCUAGAGGAAGGUG